rnacentral:rRNA from 1 species
AGCGGAGGAAAAGAAACCAACAGGGAUUGCCCUAGUAACGGCGAGUGAACAGGCAAGAGCUCAGAUUUGAAAGGCACUUUUGUGCCGUUGUAUUCUGAAGUUAGGGUCCUGAGAAACGAUGCUUAAGUCUUCUGGAAAGGAGCGCCAUGGAGGGUGAUAGCCCCGUCUAGCAUUGACCUCAUAUAGGAUCUUAACAUGGAGUCGAGUUGUUUGGGAAUGCAGCUCAAAUGGGUGGUAUGCUCCAUCUAAAGCUAAAUAUCUGCGAGAGACCGAUAGUAAACAAGUACUGUGAGGGAAAGAUGAAAAGAACUUUGAAAAGAGAGUGAAAAAGUACGUGAAAUUGUUGAAAUGGAAGGGUAGGCCGCUAACCAUGUAGAGCCGUGUUUGGGGGGAAGAUAAAUGCUGUAGAAUGUAGCUCCUCGGAGUAUUAUAGAUGCAGUUCAUAUUCCCACCCGAGCGCGAGAUUCACACUUCUCGUUCCCCGU